rnacentral:rRNA from 1 species
ACUCCUACGGGAGGCAGCAGUGGGGAAUAUUGCACAAUGGGCGGAAGCCUGAUGCAGCGACGCCGCGUGAGGGAUGACGGCCUUCGGGUUGUAAACCUCUUUCAGCAGGGACGAAGCGUAAGUGACGGUACCUGCAGAAGAAGCACCGGCUAACUACGUGCCAGCAGCCGCGGUAAUAC